AGCUUGGCUGUGAAGAGGAAGAGAAAGACAGGGCAAGAGGCAGAAGGGUGUGUGUGUUAGGUGGAGUGUCUGGGUUGUCACAUGUGUGUGUUCCUAAGAUAAGAGAGACUCGAGUUUAAAUGCUGCAGGGAAGAAGCCAGUGGCAGGGGUUGGGAGAAGAGCCGUGGAGCGGUGACAUUUAAGCAGAGACCUGAAGAAGAUGCAGGGUGGCAGGCCACUGCAGGAAGAGCUUUCCAGGCACAACGAAGAGCUGCAGUGACAUUUGCUGGCUUUAGUUUCCAAAAGACUUAGAGCCAACAACUCUUGGGUUGAUUACGCUUCUGAAGGAAUCCACCUACGGACAGCACUCGCCGGGGUUCUCUGUUGAGCAAUUCGAUCUUAAUUUUUCGGCAGAGGCCAGAGAACUUGGUGGAUGAAAGAACAGCUCCUAGAAUCAGAUGUCCUGGUUUGACUAUGAGCUCUGCCUUUGCUAAAAUGGACCCUCUGUGUCCUGCCCAGAAGUUCGUCAUCUCUGGCGGGGUAGGCGCACAGAAGCACCCCAAGCCCAGGCAUCUUCUCCAGAGCCCGCCACACUCCGUGAUAUGCCCUUCGGAGGGAAGCCAAGCGGGGUGUUCCCGCAGGGUUCAGCCUUGCAGCUCUCCUUGCCUUUCCGCUCACCCCACUUUUCCCGCACACCCCACUUUUCCCGCACACGGCUAUAUGUAUACCAAAGAGUCCCUCAUGCCUGCCUAGGCCUUUUCCCUUCGUUGGACAAUCUCAUCACUCAGUCUUUCAGGUAGAAAAAUUAGUAAACUUCAGAGUUCAGAUUCUUUUGGAGAUACGUGGAGACAUUUUUUCCCUCCAUUACAUUAAAUCGUUUUCUGUAAGCUUUAGAGCAAAUUGCUUUAAAAAAUGAAAUACACAUAGAUGCUGAGACCCAAAAGUGCCACUGAUGACCUGAGAAGCUAUUAUUUACUCAUGGAAAGCACCUUUCAUUCGCUUAAAUUGUUCACUACAUUUUAAAACUAGGAGAGUAGCAAAAUCGAAGACUUAAUUCUCAUGAAAUAUAAUAAAAACUCUGUGAACUAGAAAGGAAAAGAAAUCCUAAUUAAUUAUUAAAUGCCCGCUAUGGAGAUUACCUCAUACAAUUUUCCUAAUAACCUAUGUGGUAGGAAUGAUGAUGAAGAAUUUACAUAUAGAUCAGGAAAUAAGAGCAGUUAAGUAACCAGCCUGGGAGCUAGGAUGGAAGCACUUGCUUUCCAGCCUCCCGCACAGCCGAGGCUCAUUCUGCUUGACCUCGCUCAGCUAUUAGCCAAGCUGCACAAACUCUGUUAUUGAUGUUCUUAAUAAAUUUGCAUUUUCAUAGCCCCACAAGAAUCUGGGUAGGCAGGAAGAAUAUUGGCUUGACAAACCAGGAAAGAAUCCUGAACAAUUUAAAACAAAUGCUGGGUUUCACAUUCCUUCUCUCUUCUUUAUAUCAUAUUUUUAAAUUUGGAAUUCACUCUCAGAUGAACUGGCUGUUUGUUCCCCUGAGCCCUGUUUGGCUGAUAUACUUCAACUAAGGAUUUGGUGUAUCACAAAACAAAGCAGCCUUGGAAGAUAAUUGAUUCUGAUUUAUUAGAAAGAAGGACUGAAACUAAAACCUAACAACUAAAAUCUUUGGCACUCACAGAAAUUCUUAGAUACCUCAUUUUGAGUUGAUUCCUUUAGUUAUCUUAUGGGUGUUAGUGUGACUUUUUUAAAUGUCCAAGGGAAACAUUUGGACAGUUUAGAACAAUAAAUUUAUAGAGUUUGGGGUUUUAAAUUAGCAUUCAAUUUAUUAAAGUCACAAUUUU